rnacentral:rRNA from 1 species
UAAGAGCGAAUGGUGGAUGCCUUGACUGGUAAAGGCGAUGAAGGACGUACUAGACUGCGAUAAGCUACGGGGAGCUGUCAAGAAGCUUUGAUCCGUAGAUUUCCGAAUGGGGCAACCCAAUGUAUAGAGAUAUACAUUACCUAUAUAGGAGCGAACGAGGGGAAUUGAAACAUCUUAGUACCCUCAGGAAAAGAAAUCAAUAGAGAUUGCGUCAGUAGCGGCGAGCGAAAGCGCAAGAGGGCAAACCCAGUGCUUGCACUGGGGGUUGUAGGACUGCAAUGUGCAAGAGGUAAGUUUAGCAGAACAUUCUGGAAAGUAUAACCAUAGAGGGUGAUAGUCCCGUAUGCGAAAAACAAACCUUAGCUAGCAGUAUCCUGAGUAGGGCGGGACACGAGGAAUCCUGUCUGAAUCCGGGUCGACCACGAUCCAACCCUAAAUACUAAUACCAGAUCGAUAGUGCACAAGUACCGUGAGGGAAAGGUGAAAAGAACUGAGGUGAUCAGAGUGAAAUAGAACCUGAAACCAUUUGCUUACAAUCAUUCAGAGCCCUAUGUAGCAAUACAGGGUGAUGGACUGCCUUUUGCAUAAUGAGCCUGCGAGUUGUGGUGUCUGGCAAGGUUAAGCAAACGCGAAGCCGUAGCGAAAGCGAGUCUGAAUAGGGCGCUUAGUCAGAUGCUGCAGACCCGAAACGAAGUGAUCUAUCCAUGAGCAAGUUGAAGCUAGUGUAAGAACUAGUGGAGGACUGAACCCAUAGGCGUUGAAAAGCCCCGGGAUGACUUGUGGAUAGGGGUGAAAGGCCAAUCAAACUUCGUGAUAGCUGGUUCUCUCCGAAAUAUAUUUAGGUAUAGCGUUGUGUCGUAAUAUAAGGGGGUAGAGCACUGAAUGGGCUAGGGCAUACACCAAUGUACCAAACCCUAUCAAACUCCGAAUACCUUAUAUGUAAUCACAGCAGUCAGGCGGCGAGUGAUAAAAUCCGUCGUCAAGAGGGAAACAACCCAGACUACCAGCUAAGGUCCCUAAAUCUUACUUAAGUGGAAAACGAUGUGAAGUUACUUAAACAACCAGGAGGUUGGCUUAGAAGCAGCCAUCCUUUAAAGAAAGCGUAAUAGCUCACUGGUCUAGUGAUUUUGCGCGGAAAAUAUAACGGGGCUAAAGUAAGUACCGAAGCUGUAGACUUGCACACAACUUAGAUUAUUUAAGUUUAGAAUAUGAGAAACUAAGUUAUAUGUUUAGUUAUAUUUUUACUGAUUUUUAUAGAGUAAAGAUAGAAAUAAAACUUAGUAAAAUCAGUAAAAAUAUUCUUAGACUAAAGUUAAGUAGUUUAAGUUGUGUGCAAGUGGUAGGAGAGCGUUCUAUUUGCGUCGAAGGUAUACCGGUAAGGAGUGCUGGAGCGAAUAGAAGUGAGCAUGCAGGCAUGAGUAGCGAUAAUUAAUGUGAGAAUCAUUAACGCCGUAAACCCAAGGUUUCCUACGCGAUGCUCGUCAUCGUAGGGUUAGUCGGGUCCUAAGUCGAGUCCGAAAGGGGUAGACGAUGGCAAAUUGGUUAAUAUUCCAAUACCAACAUUAGUGUGCGAUGGAAGGACGCUUAGGGCUAAGGGGGCUAGCGGAUGGAAGUGCUAGUCUAAGGUCGUAGGAGGUUGUACAGGCAAAUCCGUAUAACAAUACUCCGAGAACUGAAAGGCUUUUUGAAGUCUUCGGAUGGAUAGAAGAACCCCUGAUGCCGUCGAGCCAAGAAAAGUUUCUAAGUUUAGCUAAUGUUGCCCGUACCGUAAACCGACACAGGUGGGUGGGAUGAGUAUUCUAAGGCGCGUGGAAGAACUCUCUUUAAGGAACUCUGCAAAAUAGCACCGUA